AUCCCAUCUAUGCAUUAAUUUGUUUUAUAUAUGUAUUUUAAGUAUUAUUUUGCAAAUAAUUUUCAUUUUGAGAUACAAAAUAAAAACAUAAUGUAAUUGAGAAUUAUCAUAUUAGUAAAACAUUGUAAAGUGAGGUAUGCUUGGCACAAAUAGAGGAGCUACUGAUAGUUGAAGAUAUCUUAAUCAGCCUGGGAGACCUAGAGAUUGAAAAGCAAAAAUUAAGAUAGUUAAAUAUCUGUGGGAAGAAGAAGGGACUGACCCAACUAUAAGGAGCAUGAGACCUGUAGCCACUAUGACAUCCAACUCCUUAGACAGACACUCCAAAGACUGAGGGAGAACAAUUACACCAUCACAAGAGAGGGCAAAAUGAAGAAAAUGGCCCUAUUGGAAAGGGAGAAGUACAACCAUUUCCUGGAAGAUUACAUCAAGACAACACAACCCAGGCUAGUGCUUAAGGACCCUACCCAUGGAGCUAAAGGUGGCCGUAGAUAGAAUCAUUAGACAUGAUCACUUCUCGGAAAUAUGGAAACAUUGAAGGAUAUCAGCCGCAGUAUGCCCGAGACUGUUCGCCUAUAUAAAAACACACAAGGACCCAAUUUCACCAAGACUGCUAGUAGAGAAGAGAAGCACUCACCACAUACAACCUAGAACAGACACUGGCCAAGUGGUGCAUGAAUAUCCUCUGGCAAGACGAUAAUUCUAUCACCAUAACAAUAGAAGCCCUAGCUAGACUACAUGCAACUGACUGGCAACAUCCGGAUAUAGUUGUGAUUUAUGAUUUUGAAAGAUUGUAUCCUUCCCUCAAGCUGGAGCUGACAUGCCUGGCCUUCUAUAGGUUCAUGCUUGAAAACUUACCUGACGCACGAGAGAGCGCUGCUAUUAAGGGACUUCGCCCACCUUAUUUGCCAUUAUACAAGUUUAGAAGCAACAAACUACAGGUGUUCCGAUAGGUAGCCCUAUGGCAGCCCCCUUAACAGAAAUUAUCCUCAGGGAACUGGAG
rnacentral:lncRNA from 1 species